CCAAACACAGAAGGAAAACAACAUUCCCAGGAACAAAAGGGUGUCCAUGUCAUCCCGGGGCCGCCUCACAAAGGGACCCCUCGGUGAAAAGGGGAGCCAGGGAAUUUUAUCCCUUUUCCCUUUGGCUGGCUCCAGUUUCCAGAGGAGACAAUGGAUGCUUUUCUCAGCCCAGACCUCCCGACAAAGGAAAUCCUGGGGCAGGGUUUGGGGUAACACCUGGGGGAAUAUGUUUUACAUCCCAAAAGGCUCCAAAACCCAGCCCUGGUGUGGGAGGUGCCAUGGAGGGGGGGUCCUCCUGGGAGCAGGACUGUUUAUAAGCUGCAGGCUCUGGCUGCUCCCUGCUGAGAAUCUCCCUCCACACCAACUUCCCGGGAAAACUCUUCAUGGUAAGGGAAAAAAUCCCAGCCUUGGACCAAAAUCUGGCUCUGAAAUCCC